GCAGCAGGCGCGAAAACUUUACAAUGCGGGAAACCGUGAUAAGGGGACACCGAGUGCCAGCAUCAUAUGCUGGCUGUCCGGGUGUGUAAAAUACACCCGUUAGCAAGGGCCGGGCAAGACCGGUGCCAGCCGCCGCGGUAACACCGGCGGCCCGAGUGGUGAUCGUGAUUAUUGGGUCCAAAGGGUCCGUAGCCGGUUUGGUCAGUCCUCCGGGAAAUCUGACGGCUCAACCGUUAGGCUUUCGGGGGAUACUGCCAGGCUUGGAACCGGGAGAGGUAAGAGGUACUACAGGGGUAGGAGUGAAAUCUUGUAAUCCCUGUGAGACCACCUGUGGCGAAGGCGUCUUACCAGAACGGGUUCGACGGUGAGGGACGAAAGCUGGGGGCACGAACCGGAUUAGAUACCCGGGUAGUCCCAGCCGUAAACGAUGCUCGCUAGGUGUCAGGCAUGGCGCGACCGUGUCUGGUGCCGCAGGGAAGCCGUGAAGCGAGCCACCUGGGAAGUACGGCCGCAAGGCUGAAACUUAAAGGAAUUGGCGGGGGAGCAC
rnacentral:rRNA from 1 species